UAGGGAAUCUUCCGCAAUGGACGCAAGUCUGACGGAGCAACGCCGCGUGAGUGAAGAAGGUUUUCGGAUCGUAAAACUCUGUUGUUAGAGAAGAACAAGUGCUAGAGUAACUGUUAGCGCCUUGACGGUAUCUAACCAGAAAGCCACGGCUAACUACGUGCCAGCAGCCGCGGUAAUACGUAGGUGGCAAGCGUUGUCCGGAUUUAUUGGGCGUAAAGCGAGCGCAGGCGGCUCCUUAAGUCUGAUGUGAAAGCCCCCGGCUCAACCGGGGAGGGUCAUUGGAAACUGGGGAACUUGAGUGCAGAAGAGGAGAGUGGAGUUCCAUGUGUAGCGGUGAAAUGCGUAGAUAUAUGGAGGAACACCAGUGGCGAAGGCGACUCUCUGGUCUGUAACUGACGCUGAGGCUCGAAAGCGUGGGUAGCAAACAGGAUUAGAUACCCUGGUAGUCCACGCCGUAAACGAUGAGUGCUAAGUGUUGGAGGGUUUCCGCCCUUCAGUGCUGCAGUUAACGCAUUAAGCACUCCGCCUGGGGAGUACGACCGCAAGGUUG
rnacentral:rRNA from 1 species